UACGUAGGGUGCAAGCGUUAAUCGGAAUUACUGGGCGUAAGGGGUGCGCAGGCGGCUCCGCAUGUCGGGCGUGAAAUCCCCGGGCUUAACCUGGGAAUUGCGUCCGAAACUAUGGAGCUGGAGUGUGGCAGAGGGAGGUGGAAUUCCACGUGUAGCGGUGAAAUGCGUAGAGAUGUGGAGGAACACCGAUGGCGAAGGCAGCCUCCUGGGCCAACACUGACGCUCAUGCACGAAAGCGUGGGGAGCAAACAGG
rnacentral:rRNA from 1 species